UGGGCCCAGCGCGGCCAUCCUGGGGGGGCUCCUACAACUACCCCAAGGGCCCUGAGUGGGAGCUGCCUUCAUCCCGGGGGCUCGGCCUGCGGUCAGGAUCACAGGCCCUGGGCGAUCUCCUCUCCCCCGCUAACAGGGCGGGAAGGUCCUUAACAUCAGUCCUCUGCCUCCGUCGCUCCCAUCCCCCACCCCUCCUGGCCGCGGGGAAGGCGCGGAGGAGGGCGCCCGCCCAGCCGCAGGAUGUAUUUACAAGUGUCAGCCGUGCAGACGCCAGCCGGCCGCCUGCGUGUGGGAGGCGGCGUCUGCGGGGAUGAACGGCCGCGUGUGCGCCUUUGUGCGCGCGCGGGUGGUUGGGGAGCGGCUGGCCUGAUCUGCCGCUGCCUCUGAGGAUAGUUGAGUCCCCCGCCACUCCUGGCAAGAGGAACCUUCACUUUGGAGACUCAGUUGCUUCUAAGAGAGAGCGGGCGUCAACCACAGGAGGAAGCGGGGAGGGCCCUUUUUAUUCUUGCCCGCUGACCAUGGGCAAAUCACAGGUCCACUCCGAGCCUCCGUUUCCUCGUCUGUAAACCAAACGCAUGAUACCCAUCAUUCCGCAUUGCAAAGCCUGGCUGAGGAUGCAGAAAGUGCUAAACCCAGCUUAUGGAAAUAAGAAAACCGAGCCCAGAGAAGGAAUUCACGGGCCUUGGGGACACAGAACAAACGAGAGACGGAGCUGCGUGCAACUGGUCUCCCUUCCUCCAUCGCUCUCCUCUUCAGUGCAUUCUCCCUGCAGCCGCCAGAGGGCACCCAUGAGCACCUGAGUCAGGUGCCCCGCCCACAACCCUUUAGGGUCUCCAUCUCCUUGGGGGUCAAAGCCCAAGUCCUCCCGCUGCCCCAUGAGGCCCUGCACAAAUUGCCCUGUCCCCUCCCUACCCACUUCCCGUCGCUCACUCUGCCACAGCCACCCGGGCCUCCUCCUCGCUGUCCCUCCCACACAACAGCCACUGCCCUGCCCCAGGACCUUUGCAUGGGCUGUUCCUCCUGCCUGUAAUGCUGUUUCCUGAAGAUCUUCAAAGAGCAUCUUCUCAUCAGCUGCGGAGGAAGACCUUCAGUCCGCCAGUGGCUCCUGGUCCUGGGAAAUCCUCUUUCCUGGGCCCCUGUUUCCUCAUCUGUAAAAUAAACAGGUAACAUUUUCCAAACCAG